GACGAAGGGGGCUAGCGUUGUUCGGAAUUACGGGGCGUAAAGCGCGUGUAGGCGGUUGGUCAAGUCAGGUGUGAAAGCCUUGAGCUCAGCUCAAGAAAUGCACUUGAUACUGGAUGACUAGAGGACCGGAGAGGAUAGUGGAAUUCCCAGUGUAGUGGUGGAAUACGUAGAGAUUGGGAAGAACACCAGUGGCGAAGGCGGUUAUCUGGACGGUUUCUGACGCUAAGACGCGAAAGCGUGGGGAGCAAACAGG
rnacentral:rRNA from 1 species